AAUUUGAGAGCUUGUAACUUUAAGCAUAGGACUUUUAAUCCUAGGAAAACAAUAUGUUUCAAAUUA
rnacentral:tRNA from 1 species